CCUACGGGUGGCAGCAGUGAGGAAUAUUGGUCAAUGGACGAGAGUCUGAACCAGCCAAGUAGCGUGAAGGAUGACUGCCCUAUGGGUUGUAAACUUCUUUUAUAUGGGAAUAAAAUGUUCCACGUGUGGGAUUUUGUAUGUACCAUAUGAAUAAGGAUAGGCUAACUCCGUGCCAGCAGCCGCGGUAAUACGGAGGAUCCGAGCGUUAUCCGGAUUUAUUGGGUUUAAAGGGAGCGUAGGUGGAUUGUUAAGUCAGUUGUGAAAGUUUGCGGCUCAACCGUAAAAUUGCAUUUGAAACUGGCAGUCUUGAGUACAGUAGAGGUGGGAGGAAUUCGUGGUGUAGCGGUGAAAUGCGUAGAUAUCACGAAGAACUCCGAUUGCGAAGGCAGUUCACUGGACUGCAACUGACACUGAGGCUCGAAAGUGUGGGUAUCAAACAGGAUUAGAUACCCGUGUAGUC
rnacentral:rRNA from 1 species